GAUGAAGAACGUAGCGAAAUGCGAUAAGUAAUGCGAAUUGCAGAAUUCAGUGAAUCAUCGAAUCUUUGAACGCACAUUGCGCCCGGUAGUAAUCUGCCGGGCAUGCCUGUCCGAGCGUCAUUUCAACCCUCGAACCACUAUUCGCGUAGCUGGAUCGGUGUUGGGGCACUACGGUGGAAUACCCGUAGGCCCCGAAAUGAAGUGGCGGUCCCGCCGCGGCGCCCCCAUGCGUAGUAACAUCUCGUCUCGCAUCGGGUCCCGGCGGAGGCCUGCCGUCAAGCCUAUUUUCUAAUUACAGAUGGUUUGACCUCGGAUCAGGUAGGGUUACCCGCUGAACUUAAGCAUAUCAAUAAGCGGAGGA
rnacentral:misc_RNA from 1 species